rnacentral:rRNA from 1 species
GGUUAAGUUAGAAAGGGCGCACGGUGGAUGCCUUGGCACUAGGAGCCGAUGAAGGACGGGACGAACACCGAUAUGCUUCGGGGAGCUGUAAGCAAGCUUUGAUCCGGAGAUUUCCGAAUGGGGAAACCCACCACUCGUAAUGGAGUGGUAUCCAUAUCUGAAUACAUAGGAUAUGAGAAGGCAGACCCGGGGAACUGAAACAUCUAAGUACCCGGAGGAAGAGAAAGCAAAUGCGAUUCCCUGAGUAGCGGCGAGCGAAACGGGACCAGCCCAAACCAAGAGGCUUGCCUCUUGGGGUUGUAGGACACUCUGUACGGAGUUACAAAGGAACGAGGUAGAUGAAGAGGUCUGGAAAGGCCCGCCAUAGGAGGUAACAGCCCUGUAGUCAAAACUUCGUUCUCUCCUGAGUGGAUCCUGAGUACGGCGGAACACGUGAAAUUCCGUCGGAAUCCGGGAGGACCAUCUCCCAAGGCUAAAUACUCCCUAGUGACCGAUAGUGAACCAGUACCGUGAGGGAAAGGUGAAAAGCACCCCGGAAGGGGAGUGAAAGAGAUCCUGAAACCGUGUGCCUACAAGUAGUCAGAGCCCGUUAACGGGUGAUGGCGUGCCUUUUGUAGAAUGAACCGGCGAGUUACGAUCCCGUGCAAGGUUAAGCAGAAGAUGCGGAGCCGCGCGAAAGCGAGUCUGAAUAGGGCGAAUUGAGUACGUGGUCGUAGACCCGAAACCAGGUGAUCUACCCAUGUCCAGGGUGAAGUUCAGGUAACACUGAAUGGAGGCCCGAACCCACGCACGUUGAAAAGUGCGGGGAUGAGGUGUGGGUAGGGGUGAAAUGCCAAUCGAACCUGGAGAUAGCUGGUUCUCUCCGAAAUAGCUUUAGGGCUAGCCUCAAGGUAAGAGUCUCGGAGGUAGAGCACUGAUUGGACUAGGGGCCCCUACCGGGUUACCGAAUUCAGUCAAACUCCGAAUGCCGAUGACUUAUCCUUGGGAGUCAGACUGCGAGUGAUAAGAUCCGUAGUCGAAAGGGAAACAGCCCAGACCGCCAGCUAAGGUCCCAAAGUAUACGUUAAGUGGAAAAGGAUGUGGAGUUGCUUAGACAACCAGGAUGUUGGCUUAGAAGCAGCCACCAUUUAAAGAGUGCGUAAUAGCUCACUGGUCGAGUGACUCUGCGCCGAAAAUGUACCGGGGCUAAACGUAUCACCGAAGCUGCGGACUGUUCUUCGAACAGUGGUAGGAGAGCGUUCUAAGGGCUGUGAAGCAAGACCGGAAGGACUUGUGGAGCGCUUAGAAGUGAGAAUGCCGGUAUGAGUAGCGAAAGAGGGGUGAGAAUCCCCUCCACCGAAUGCCUAAGGUUUCCUGAGGAAGGCUCGUCCGCUCAGGGUUAGUCGGGACCUAAGCCGAGGCCGAAAGGCGUAGGCGAUGGAUAACAGGUUGAUAUUCCUGUACCACCUCCUCACCAUUUGAGCAAUGGGGGGACGCAGGAGGAUAGGGUAAGCGCGGUAUUGGAUAUCCGCGUCCAAGCAGUUAGGCUGGGAAAUAGGCAAAUCCGUUUCCCGUGAAGGCUGAGCUGUGAUGGCGAGCGAAUUAUAGUAGCGAAGUUCCUGAUUCCACACUGCCAAGAAAAGCCUCUAGCGAGGUGAGAGGUGCCCGUACCGCAAACCGACACAGGUAGGCGAGGAGAGAAUCCUAAGGUGAUCGAGAGAACUCUCGUUAAGGAACUCGGCAAAAUGACCCCGUAACUUCGGGAGAAGGGGUGCUCUGUUAGGGUGCAAGCCCGAGAGAGCCGCAGUGAAUAGGCCCAGGCGACUGUUUAGCAAAAACACAGGUCUCUGCGAAGCCGUAAGGCGAAGUAUAGGGGCUGACGCCUGCCCGGUGCUGGAAGGUUAAGAGGAGCGCUUAGCGUAAGCGAAGGUGCGAAUUGAAGCCCCAGUAAACGGCGGCCGUAACUAUAACGGUCCUAAGGUAGCGAAAUUCCUUGUCGGGUAAGUUCCGACCCGCACGAAAGGCGCAACGAUCUGGGCACUGUCUCAACGAGAGACUCGGUGAAAUUAUAGUACCUGUGAAGAUGCAGGUUACCCGCGACAGGACGGAAAGACCCCGUGGAGCUUUACUGCAGCCUGAUAUUGAAUGUUGGUACAGCUUGUACAGGAUAGGUAGGAGCCUUGGAAACCGGAGCGCCAGCUUCGGUGGAGGCAUCGGUGGGAUACUACCCUGGCUGUAUUGACCUUCUAACCCGCCGCCCUUAUCGGGCGGGGAGACAGUGUCAGGUGGGCAGUUUGACUGGGGCGGUCGCCUCCUAAAAGGUAACGGAGGCGCCCAAAGGUUCCCUCAGAAUGGUUGGAAAUCAUUCGCAGAGUGUAAAGGCACAAGGGAGCUUGACUGCGAGACCUACAAGUCGAGCAGGGACGAAAGUCGGGCUUAGUGAUCCGGUGGUUCCGCAUGGAAGGGCCAUCGCUCAACGGAUAAAAGCUACCCCGGGGAUAACAGGCUUAUCUCCCCAAGAGUCCACAUCGACGGGGAGGUUUGGCACCUCGAUGUCGGCUCAUCGCAUCCUGGGGCUGUAGUCGGUCCCAAGGGUUGGGCUGUUCGCCCAUUAAAGCGGUACGCGAGCUGGGUUCAGAACGUCGUGAGACAGUUCGGUCCCUAUCCGUCGCGGGCGCAGGAAAUUUGAGAGGAGCUGUCCUUAGUACGAGAGGACCGGGAUGGACGCACCGCUGGUGUACCAGUUGUUCUGCCAAGGGCAUCGCUGGGUAGCUAUGUGCGGACGGGAUAAGUGCUGAAAGCAUCUAAGCAUGAAGCCCCCCUCAAGAUGAGAUUUCCCAUUCCGCAAGGAAGUAAGAUCCCUGAAAGAUGAUCAGGUUGAUAGGUCUGAGGUGGAAGUGUGGCGACACAUGGAGCUGACAGAUACUAAUCGAUCGAGGACUUAACCAA